rnacentral:lncRNA from 1 species
CAUCCAGCGCUGGGGCCUCAUCUUCCAUGUCAGAGUCUGAAGAAGGUCCAUCGACCCUACCACCCCCUCCACCGCCACCACCAUUGCCAGCCACCUCUGAGUCUGUUGAUCCAUCUGCUCCACCUUUCCCUUUGCCCCCACUCCCACCACCGCCCCCACCACCCCCUAAACCUAACAGUGACGCAGCACUACCAGGCUUACCUCCGCCACCUCCACCUCCUCCUGGCCCACCUCCGAGAGAACCUGUAUCAGGUCAUACAGUACUUCCACCACCUCCACCCCCAUCAAAUCCACCACCAGCGUCUAGUGCAAAUGGGAGCAAAACAAAUUCUUCCCAGGUACCUACUUUGGAUCUCUUUUGUUUAUUUACUAGUGCUUCUAAUCCAUUUGUUAAUGCAACAAAUCCCCUUUCCUCAUGUUUAAAUGUUUGGAUGC